UUUCUACUCCCUCCGUCCGAAAAUACUUGUCACAUUAAUGGAUGCAUCUAGAUGUAUUUUAGUUCUAGAUACAUCCAUUUUUAUAAAUUUGUGAGACAAGUAAUUCCGGACGGAGGGAGUAUUAA
rfam:Hordeum vulgare subsp. vulgare, WGS project CAJW01000000 data, contig: morex_contig_138285